rnacentral:lncRNA from 1 species
CAGUAAAUACUUUUACAAAAGAAAAAAAAAACCACCUCCAAGAUUAAAAAAAUAAAAAUCAUAAACCUAAUAAUAAUAAUAACAAUAAUGGCUUAAUAAUUGAUGAGGUUGUUCCAAUUAAAUUUGUUGUUGAUGUGUUCAACAGCAAUGUUCCUAUUCCUCUUUAGCUUUAAUUCAGGCGUAAUGAAAGCUUAAUUUCAUAGGGGUAGUUCAUUUGUGCCUGCAUUGGACAAAAAUAUUGAUGUCAACAAUUAUUUUAUUUUAGGUCUAAUGAAAAUGAUGUUUACUUUUUUUUUUAAUUAUGAAUUAAUAAAUAUUAAUAAUUUAUUUAUAUUAUAUUAUUACCGUUUAAACUCUGAAACUGUAUUGGUGUUUUUCUAUUGUCGGUUUGUCCAAAUCCCAUUUGAACAAUUGUGUGGAGGUCAUCUUCAGAGAAUGUUAAUGGAUACUGAAAAAUUGAAAAUCAUUAUACAAGAUUAGUUAGGUAAAUAAAUUGCAUCAAAUGAAACUAUUAGGUUAAAAAAAUUGAAUAUGAUUCAACAAAGAAUAUUUAAUGAAGUUGCGGGAAUCAUAAUCAAAAUCGGUUAAUUUGCAUUUUGAUUUGAUAAAUUAGUUUUAAAAUACAAUAUUGCAAUAUAAAUGAUUGUUUAUGAUAAUCAUAUAAUCUGGAUAGUCAAAUCAAUGUCAACUGAUUUACAAUACGUUUUAACUGUAUAAAAUCAAAAUGUGAAUAGUUGAUAUUGAUCUGAUGAUCGAGAACAGACGAUGAUUAGAAAAUGCUAUUAACAUUUUUUGAAGAUAAAUUUGGAGAAAAUUGAUUAUUACCUGAGAAACAGCUUCAUGGAAUCCAUUAAGUGAAGAUAAGUGCAUGCCUAGGUUUUGGCAUAAAGCAUUUUCUAAUGGGUCCAAUGAGUUGUGGGGCAUAGUUCCAUUAGAAAUGUUAUUGUGGAUUGCUGAAUUUUGCUGGUGUUGUUGCCCAUAAAAGGAUGGUGCUGAGGAAUCUUGAGAGAAUAUUGGGUGUGCCAAAGAAUUAUUUGAUUGAAAUAUCUAAAAAAAAUACAAUUAAAAGUCAACAAAUUUAUCUUAAUAAAAAAAAACAAUACAAUAGUCUCAGAUAAGAACUCAGUUGAUAGUUAUGCAGCAGAAACAUUUAAUUAUAAAACACAUAAUUCAAAUCUGCGACAUCUUAUUUAUUUUGAAAAUUUUGACGAUCAGAAUACUUUUUAUUUAUCUAUUGAAAAACAAAUCCAUUAUCUAGAACCCUUAAACUUACAUCUUUUGAGAUUAGCCUUUCAAUACUAAAAUCCACCCUUGUGUUGACAGAAGCCAGUUUCAUAGAUAGGAACUGCAAAAAGAAAAUCAAACCAAUUUUUUUAAAAAACUUAAUGAGCAAGAAAUCUAAAUAUCAUGUGAUAAUAUGCUUAUUUCCUCUCAUUUUUAAAAUAAGUAAAAAAAAUUAUAUCUAAUUCCUAAAGUUGACUUAUUUUUUGAAGCAUUAUCUUACCUCAACUUGACGCUGCAAUGAUUGAACAUAGUUUAUAAUUUCAUCAAGCAUAAGUGCUUUUCCAGUAACCUACAUGUAAUAAUAAAAUUCAUAACAAAAAAUUAGUUAUCACAAAUUAACCAAUCAAAUUCUCUAAACCAUAAAUUUAUCAUUUUUUGUCCACCUUAUUGCAACCCGGUACAAGAUCUUGUAGAAGCUUCAUUCUUUCACUUAUUUUCUCCCUUCUAACCUAUAACAAAAUUUAGUUUUAUAUAAUGUCAAAUUUCAAGGCCAACACAUAUAUUGUCGACAUGACUUAAAACCGUGGUCUGCAACUGAAAUUACAGGCAAAAUAUAUCAGAUUCAUUGUGGUUCGCAACUGCAAUACAUAUACAAUAUAUCAAAUUCAUUGUAACUCUAAUUUUUUUUGGUAAAUAUCGAGUAUUUUUUAUGUACAACUGGAGAAACUAGUCUAUUGAAUUAAGGAGGAUCAUAAUGAACAAUGAAACUAUUUCUUAGUAGAAUUUUAAAAGUAACCCGAAUUUAAGACCAUGAUGGUUAGUGUCAAUUUUGGAAUGAAAAUGACAGUGAAAAUUCUUACUCUUUCUGCAAGACUAUGACUGUCAGUAGCUUGACCUCUUCUUGCUCUGACAUGAAUGUAAUCCUUUUGAGCCUCAGGUGGUUUUGAGUUACUCUUAUUCUGUUUUUCAUCACCUUCAUUAUUACUAUUUGUACCUCCUUUUGACUCUUCCUCUGCUUUUACUUUACCAUUUUCAACUUUUUCACCUUCACUUGUUUUCAUGCGCUUUGAAUUUGAAUCUUCACCAACUUCACAAGCCUUUAAUUGAAAAACAAAAAUGACCCUUUUGGAUUUAAGAUAUGAAAUCACCAUUUUAACUUAAAGGGUAAAAGAAAAUCAAGUAAAAAUUCAAUUUUUAUCUUACCAUUAGAGGGUUACUAGAAGUUGAAUUUUCUUUAGUUUUUCCUUUGGAAGAUGCUUUUCUUUUCCUUGAAUUCACAUAAGGAGAUGGUUUGUUACCAUUUUCAGAGAUUGUUGAUUCUUCUUGAGAAUUGUUAACUUCAAUUGGAUCAUGAAUGUUCUCUUGAGAUUGAGAUCCAAAUUCUUUCAAUGAUGGACUACUUGAAACUCUAGAUAGUUUUCCAUUUUCUAUCAAUGGAGUAGAUCUUUGACUUUGACUCAAUUGUGUUGUUGUUCUUCCAUUAAAACUCUUACUUCCAAAGCAAGAGAAUUUUGCAGCUCUUUCAGCAAAACCAGGAUCAGUUGAGAAUUGCGCAACAGUUGAAUUCAAACUCAUGUUUUGAAUGCUCAAUUUAGGAGGAGAAUUCAAAGGGGUGUUGUAGCAUGAAGUAUUGUUAUUGCUAUUGAUGUAAGAGUUUGCAACGAUCAGAGUGUGUGAGAUCUCAUCAGAACAAUUACCAAUGUUUCCCAAUUUUCCAAUCAAUUCUCUGAUGACAAAGUUCUCAUUUGACAUGUUGGAAUUGGAAGCUGCUGGUGAAGAUACCAUUGAACUAAGUGCUGAGUCAAAUUGAUGAACACAUUGAUCUGAUGGUGUGUAGAAGCAUUCUUGAUUAUGUUGUUGUUCUGAUGAAAGUGAGAGUGAUUUCCAUGUAGGAUGUGAUUGUUCAAAAUGAAGAUUAGUGUUUGAAAAAAAUUGAUUUUCCAUGGAUGUAAGGUGAAGAAUUAAAACAACCUUACUUGAAUAGGAUCUAUUGUAUAGGUUCGUACUACUGUAUCCUUGAUUUUUAAGGAGACAGAAAAAGAAAAGGCGAAGAAUUGAAGAAAUAAAGUUGAAAGAUGAAAUUGAUAUUAUGAAUAUGAAUGAAUCAUGAUAUAAUAGAAAGAAAGAAAAAAAAGUGAGUUGGAUGAUGAGGUUGAAGUGAUGAAUGAAAAGAGUGAAAUUGGUGGGAUAAAAAGAUAAGAAAAAGUGAAGUGAGAGAUAGAGAAAUAUUUAUAGAGAGAGGGAGAGAGAAAAGGAAAAGGAAGAAGGAGAUUGAUGUAGUUGUGAUAGGGGGAGACUAUAUAGAGAUCCAAGCAAGAACAAGUUUGAGUUUAAGUUCUCAAUGUUUGACCUUUUGAAUUUUUGGUGUUCUUUAUAAUAGUAGUAGUACUAUUGUUUCUUGUGUUUGAUUGUAUAAGUAGUUGUAGUCAGUAACUUGUUACUUUUGUUUUUCUAUCUCAAUCUCUCUCAUUCUCCGUCUAUUGUGUACACAUUAUUGUUUUUUAUAGCAAAUAUUACUAACAUAUUUAUACUUUCUGCUUUUGUUAUAUCAAAUAUAUCAUGCCAUCUUGUAACUUAGACAUUUCUAAUAAAUAAUACAUGAAUCCAUCCCUUGACACGUCUCUAUAUGAUUAGUUCAUUGUAAUGUUAAGAGACAAGUGUGUCAGAUUACCACUUUCCAUAUGCAUUUCUUUAACUUCUUUAGAACCCCAAAAAGAAAAUUAAAACAUACUAUUAUAGAAUAAUUAAUUCUGUCAAUAUAUAUUUAAUACAUGCAACUGUUCUGUAAACAGCACCACAUUCAAAGCAUCUUUCUGAUAAUAAUUUAAUCACAAUAUUCUGCAAAACAAUUAUAGACCCAUCAAUAUUAAAUUGUCAAGAUCAGAACCUAUAAAUCUUUUCUUAAACUUUAUAAUCUGGAUUUUUCCUAACAACUUCUCUAUAGAGUAUCUUUUCCAAACCUGAAUUCCACUAUAAACAACUUUUUUUAUUCAGAAAAUUAAUUAAAUAAAAUUUAUGAAAUUANAAGAUCAGAACCUAUAAAUCUUUUCUUAAACUUUAUAAUCUGGAUUUUUCCUAACAACUUCUCUAUAGAGUAUCUUUUCCAAACCUGAAUUCCACUAUAAACAACUUUUUUUAUUCAGAAAAUUAAUUAAAUAAAAUUUAUGAAAUUAUAAAGCUCAAUGGUUGAUUAGGCCUAGUCAGAAUUUCAACACUGUGCCAACCUGGGGAUUCCUUUAUAGUUAAAAAAAAUUUAGUUUUUAUUUUUACCAAAGAAUAUAUAUAUUUUUAUAUAAAGGGGUAGUUAUAACUUUUAACCUCUAAUUAAUCUUUAAAUGCUUUUGGAUAUAUUUUUUAAUUUCAUAAAGUAAGAAAAUUAUUUAAAGUGCACAGAAGCUUCUCUGCUGUUGGUGAACCUAAAAAAGUUACAUGUAAUAAAAAAACAUAAAGAAAAUGCCAGAAAUUAUGGUUGACCCCAUCACAAGUUAAUUACCAAAUGUCAUCAUCAUUGAAAUAAGAAAAAAAAGAGAGAUUCAAUUAUUAAAUUAAUAAAAGUAAGACCCCCCUAUAUAUAUUACAGCUGGUUACCAACAUAAAUUAACAUAAGGUUAAUUGACAUGACAUAUAAUGAGAUUUUGAUAAAGACAUAAGAAAAUUCUUUUAUGAUCUGUUUAGAUAUAUAAAUCAUAUACAAAUAUCAGUAAAAUCUUAAUUUAACUAAUUAAACAUCGAUAUUAUUAGAUUGAAUUUUGUUUGAAUUCUCAAAUUUAUAGAUAUGUGUUGAUAUUUUUAAUUGUUAUAACCAAUAUAUGUACGUAAAAAAGAGAAGAAAAAUUUAAUUUUUUUAGAUAAAUAUUUCCACAUCACACCGUCAAAAUAAUAUCAUUAGUUUGAUCUCACUCGUAAGAUUGAAAAAUAAUAUAUAUUUUUUAAAAUUAUCAACUUUAAAUCACGAAUGUCUGAUCCUGAUUGGAAAAUCAAGUAUAUUUAAUAUGUGAAAUUUGGGUCCAAGAAAAUGUGAGUAAGGUGUUAAGAGUCCCACAUCGGACAAUAUAUGGUCUGAACAUGACUUUAUAAGUGGGGACAACCCUCAUUCUACUAACCUGUUUUGUAGGAUUGAGUUAGGCUCAAUCACACAUUCUUAACAUGGUAUCAGAUCAUUGUUUAAGAUCCGGUGGACCACCUACUAUGGUUUUCAUUAUCGGUUUCCACGCUCCAGAUGUGUUAAGAGUCUCACAUCGGACAAUAUAUGUCCAGUCCUGUCCUGUGAGGGGUGUGUUAAGAGUCUCACAUCAGACAAUAUAUGACAUGAACAUGACUUUAUAAGUGGGGACAACCCUCACUCUACCAACCGGUUUUGUAGGGUUGAAUUAGGUCCAAUCACACAUUCUUAACUUAAGGUAACUCAAAAAGAUAAAUCAACAAUUUAAAAAUAAAAUAUUUAUACACAAAACAUAAAAUAAUAGAGAAAGUGAAGAGUGAUAAUGAUAGGUGGCACAAAAACGCCUUUAAUUAAUUAGCACUAUAUCUCACAAUUGGUGCCAUAAUAAUAAGAAUUUGCACCAAGAUCCUAAAGAUUUUACAGUAAAUACUUUUACAAAAGAAAAAAACCACCUCCAAGAUAAAAAAUAAAAAUAAAAAUCAUAAACCUAAUAAUAAUAAUAACAAUAAUGGCUUAAUAAUUGAUGAGGUUGUUCCAAUUAAAUUUGUUGUUGAUGUGUUCAACAGCAAUGUUCCUAUUCCUCUUUAGCUUUAAUUCAGGCGUAAUGAAAGCUUAAUUUCAUAGGGGUAGUUGAUUUGUGC